UACAGAGGGUGCGAGCGUUUGUCCGGAAUCACUGGGCGUAAAGGGUGCGUAGGCGGCGCGGUAAGUCGGGGUGUGAAAUCUCGGAGCUUAACUCCGAAACUGCAUUCGAUACUGCGGUGCUUUGAGGACUGGAGAGGAGACUGGAAUUCAUGGUGUAGCAGUGAAAUGCGUAGAGAUCAUGAGGAAGACCAGUGGCGAAGGCGGGUCUCUGGACAGUUCCUGACACUGAGACACGAAGGCCAGGGGAGCAAAACGGGG
rnacentral:rRNA from 1 species